rnacentral:tRNA from 1 species
GGAGCUGUGCCUGAAGAAAAGGACCACUUUGAUAGAGUGCCUCAUGGGGGUUAGAGUCCCCCCACCUCCU